CGGAAGACCCACUCAAAAGUGGAAGGCGCAUCACUGUUUUGUUCCUUCUUCAUCUGUACAAGGAAUGCGUCUACAAAAUCUCCUCCUUCUCCUUCAAUGUUG
rnacentral:snoRNA from 1 species